rnacentral:rRNA from 1 species
AGGACGAACGCUAGCGGCGUGUUUGAAACAUGCAAGUCGAACGGCAGGAGCAGCAAUGCUUCGAGAGUGGCGAACGGGUGCGUAACACGUAAAGAACCUAUCCUUUAGCGGGGGAUAGCCCUUAGAAAAUGAGGGGUAAUACCGCAUAAGGUAUUCAUCACGCAUGUGGUGGAUAGGAAAGGGUUACGAAAGUAACUCACUGAAGGAGGGCUUUGCGGCCUAUCAGGUAGUUGGUGGGGUAAUGGCCUACCAAGCCAAAGACGGGUAGCUGGUCUGAGAGGAUGGUCAGCCACACUGGGACUGAGAUACGGCCCAGACUCCUACGGGGGGCAGCAGUUUAGAAUAUUGUGCAAUGGGCGAAAGCCUGACACAGCGACGCCGCGUGGGUGAUGAAGGCCUUAGUGUCGUAAAGCCCUGUUGGUAGGGAUGAGCAAGGACAGUACCUACCGAGGAACGCCCCGGCUAACGUACGCGCCAGCAGCCGCGGU